rnacentral:rRNA from 1 species
GACGAACGCUGGCGGCACGCCUAACACAUGCAAGUCGAACGGACUUACAAGAGCUUGCUUUUUUAAGUUAGUGGCGGACGGGUGAGUAACACGUGAGCAACCUGCCUCUGAGAGGGGGAUAGCUUCUGGAAACGGAUGGUAAUACCCCAUAAAAUAUAAAUAUCGCAUGAUAGAUAUAUCAAAGAAAUUCGCUCAGAGAUGGGCUCGCGUCUGAUUAGAUAGUUGGUGAGGUAACGGCUCACCAAGUCGACGAUCAGUAGCCGGACUGAGAGGUUGAACGGCCACAUUGGGACUGAGACACGGCCCAGACUCCUACGGGAGGCAGCAGUGGGGAAUAUUGCACAAUGGAGGGAACUCUGAUGCAGCGAUGCCGCGUGGAGGAAGAAGGUUUUCGGAUUGUAAACUCCUUUUAUCAGGGACGAUAAUGACGGUACCUGAAGAAAAAGCUCCGGCUAACUACGUG